GGGGAUGUAGCUUAGAUGGUAGAGUGUUUGCUUAGCUUGCGAGAGGUACGAGGAUCAAUACCUUGUGUUUCCA
rnacentral:tRNA from 1 species